rnacentral:rRNA from 1 species
UACGAAGGGGGCUAGCGUUGCUCGGAAUCACUGGGCGUAAAGCGCACGUAGGCGGACUCUUAAGUCGGUGGUGAAAUCCUGGAGCUCAACUCCAGAACUGCCUUUGAUACUGGGAAUCUCGAGUCCGGGAGAGGUGAGUGGAACUCCGAGUGUAGAGGUGAAAUUCGUAGAUAUUCGCAAGAACACCAGUGGCGAAGGCGGCUCACUGGCCCGAUACUGACGCUGAGGUGCGAAAGCGUGGGGAGCAAACAGG